CAAUCUAGACCGAAAUCUACUCUGGGUGACUAAGUAAAGUCUACUCUGGGCAGCAAAGCUACUAGUAAAGGGGGUAUGUAAUUAAUGGAAUAAUCAAGCACCCUACUGAACAUCAUAACGUCUGUGUGUGUGUAGUAUUGAAUGCAGCUUCUUCUGCCAGGAAAGAAAGUGUUUUCUUUAUGAAUUUAUGUAGAUAUUGAUCCUGGUCUUCUGUUUCUGUCAUAAUAUGUGGAACAUAACAACUGUAAAACAAACAAUUUUGACCGUGUUGAUGAAGUAGAGUUUUGUAGAUGUGCAGUUAUGGUCCCUUUGUAGAACUCCCAAACCAGCAAUUGAUUGAAUUUUCUGCUUUUAAGGGAGAAAAGCAAAACAUUCAAUUCCAAAACAACCCAGCAACUGUUCUCAUUUGUGAUUUUAGUCACCUUAUUGCAGCAAAAUCAAAUCAGUCUCUUCUCAGUACUCCUCCUUGAAUUUUCAUUACCUCUGUGCACCUAACCAUGCACAUCUUCUUUCUUUUCUUAUUUUUCUUGGAUCAUAGGGUUGUUGUUUUUUGUCCUUAACCUCAACCAGAGGCUGCCCCUAUAUUUCAAAAAAAAAAAAAACCACGGACAAAAACUGUGAGCUUCUGGACUAGUGUCCUGCAUACCUCUCCUAUCCAUAUCCCGUAUGUCCUUCUUCCCUGUUGACUCUACUCUGACAAUCUCUGAACAUUGGAAGGAAGGUCUACAGAUGGACCAUAUGCUGCAACCUAGGCUGUUUCAUAAGAUCUGGGGCCCAAGUUUAAGGGCACCCAAGCACAUGAAGAAAGAGGUUGUUUUUGUGCAUUACCUCUUUAAGAGACAUCAUACCUGGGAAGAACUUUGGACAGAAGUCAGUAGGAACAGCUGGGGUCCAACAUCACAUAUUUGGACUGGAUGACAGCACACCUGGUAGGUACUGCUCUUGAUUGCAUGAAUCCAAAAUGGCAUUUUGUCUCUCCACAGAAAACCACUUGGGCAUCCAUUUAUAAUUACCAGAGGGCCAGCCCAAGAAAACAUUCGUUCAUGCUAAUAAAUAUAAGCAUCAAUAGGGCUCA
rnacentral:lncRNA from 1 species